UUCCCUUCAGGCGUUCCUGGGAUUGCGUUCCUGAGUGGGAUGGACAUGAGGUCACAGUGACCUUUACCUUUGACUACCAAAUUCCAAAGUCCAAGUGGCCGUUUGACCCAAAUAAGAAAUUCCUUCAAGACAAGUGCAAGUGUUGUACCUUGUAGGAAGUAAACCCCCCUGGGCCUGAGGAACCUGGGAUAAGGAGGGUCUGCCGGGUAGUGGCACUUAAAUGCCUCACCUAUGAUGAAAAGUCUUCCAUGAACAGUAAGAUACUGGGACACCAGGAGGUCUCCUCUGAUGAAAAGUGAUGUGGAGCAUACAUCCGCUGCUGAGGAUCUGAAACAGUCAGUACGACCCAAGCUAUCUCAGCGGGGUCUCAUGAG